ACUGAGGAGACGGAGACCAUGCUGACCGAGAUGCAUGUUGGCCAUUUCGGAGUCAAGCCAUGAUUGCCAAAAUCAACAGACACAACUUUUGGCAUGGGAUUGUCAAGGAAGUGGACAGCUGGGCAAGUGAAACAACAGUUUGUUUAUCGAUCACAUUCUAUUAUGUCUGAAAUUAUUUCGAUUUCAAUGAAUGUCAUAUCAGAGAGAACAUAAUGUUUAAAUGUGUCACCUUGUGCUUAAAGAAAGUACCUGUCUAGCCUGAUGGCGACCGAUUAUUUUACCAAUUGGGUGGAGGCAAUACCCAUUAAGCUCUGCAAAUGAAGAGAACGUGCUUAACUCUAAAUUCCCUUCUGUAAUUCUUGGAACCAAAAAUGUAUUUUCUUUUGUAUGAUACCAGACUGGCGAGGCCACCUCCAAGGCGAUGAUGGACAUCAUCAAACACCCAUGGUUCUCCUGAGGUCACCUUGAGUGACCGAGGUCGUAAACUCUGGAACAAGGUAGAGUUAUUAUAGGUUAUAUUGUGUCACCAAUGGUUUGUGUUAGUUUAUUUUUUUACAAUUAGUUUUUGUUUUUCCAUGGUACAUAAUCAGACAUUUCAAUAUCUUCCAUUGUUAAUAGAUAUCCCUUUCCUAGCCCCUCAUCCAGGUUUGGAUGAACAGACAAACCACACCCUCAAGACUGCCAUGGGCAAGUCCCUUGACUGGCUCCAAGAAUAGUUGGAGGACAACCUGAAGGUAAUUAUCUUUGCACACAACAGCAUCUUCCAGGCCUCCAGAGUACUCACCCUAUCGCCUACUGUAAGGAUGGGAGUUGCAGCUGUUUACUGAGGUAUACAAUGCAAUUGUAUAUAAAAUGAUUGCCUAUACUGUAGUCUAAAAAAUGUGUGAUUGACUUUGUGUUUUUCUAUUGCUAUUUUUGUACAACGUACUUUGAGGUCACUAAUAGAUGUGGUGGAAGUUGAACACCUUCAAGGACCACCUUCAGGCACGGACUGAGAAGGAUGUGUUUUUUUUUACCAGGUCAACAUUAUUGUCCGCUGUUAAUUUAUUUUCAGGUCUUCCAAGAGAUACAUAAGAGAUGCAUUUGUAAUAAUAUGAUACAUAUAAUAUGCAUUUAUUUAAAUUAUCAAUCAAGGUGAGACUGAACAUGGACAAGGCGCAGGAGAAACAGAAGGAGGGCCACCGGAGGAGAAUCAAGGGGACCAAGUGCUUUGACAUCUGGGUGAAUGACUUGGGUUGGAAGAAGGACGAAAGGAAGGCGAGACCUGGGAAAGCUUGGUGCUUUUUCACUCCUAGCUGGGGUCAACAUCCGUUAAGGGACCAUCCCUUAUAACCCCACUGACAUCAAAUAUUAGACAGGACCUAGGGGGUUCUGCCUAACACUCAGACAUGGAUCCACCUGAUGUUCUCCAUUACCAACCACCCUCCAACUUUUCAUUACAUCAUCUACAGCUACUGUUAUUGUCAUGUUGUCAUUAUCUGCUAAGAA